rnacentral:rRNA from 1 species
CUUACGGGUGGCAGCAGUGAGGAAUAUUGGUCAAUGGGCGAGAGCCUGAACCAGCCAAGUCGCGUGAGGGAAGACGGUCCUAUGGAUUGUAAACCUCUUUUGUCGGGGAGCAAAAAGGCCUCGUUAGGCCACAAGUCAGAGUACCCGAAGAAAAAGCAUCGGCUAACUCCGUGCCAGCAGCCGCGGUAAUAAGGAGGAUGCGAGCGUUAUCCGGAUGUAUUGGGUUUAAAGGGUGCGUAGGCGGACUGGAAAGUAAGUGGUAAAAUCGAGAGGCUCAACCGCUUUCCGCAGUUGAAAAUGUCGGUCUUGAGUGGGCGAGAAGUAUGCGGAAUGCGUGGUGUAGCGGUGAAAUGCGUAGAUAUUAGGAGGAACACCAGUGGCGAAGGCGGCUUACUGGACUGUAACUGACGUUGAGGCUCGAAAGCGUGGGGAGCAAACAGGAUUAGAUACCCGGGUAGUC